GGUGCUGCUGCUGGUGCUGCUGGUGGUUACUAUGCUGGAUAUGGACAAGGCUACGAGGCUUAUGGACAAGGGUAUGCACAGCCUCAAGACCCUAACAUGUAUGGUUAUGGAGCCUAUGCUGGUUAUCCCAACUACCAACAACCAGCAGCGGCACCGCAGCCACCGCCACCACAACAGGUGAAGUUCCCUAUCGAUAUAAGCGCAAAUCUUAGCUCUUGAUAAUCUUAUUACUUAAAUGUUGCACCGACAUGUGAAAACCAGCCGCCUGGCUAAUCCAAAACUACGCCAUCUUUUCCUUCUCUGCAGUGAGCUCUCCUCGUUGGGUCGUCCAGACAGAUGAGAACCCCUGUUUGAAGGCACUGUCAAGGCUAAUGUUGUAGCACCUGUCGAUAGAGAGAGACGGUUCCUGGACUCCGGAUUUUGAUUGCCCCAUGGCAAGGUCUAUUGUUCUGUUAUUAUGCACUAUGUUAUGAUCAGCUGUUGUCCGUCCCAUUGUGGUGAUCCUUUGGAUAUGUACUUGGAAACUUAGCUUUGUUUCGCCGCAUGUCCUUGUCUACUGUUAUUUACCAUUGCUAUCUUGUGCUGUUAAAUUAUAUACUAUUGUACCGUUUGCUUCCUGCUGCAUUUGUUUAUGUUGUUGGUGCUUUGUGGUUUGGAUUCUCCUUUUUAUCAGAGAAGAGGAUAACCCAACAGCUUUGGUCUGGUGGCCUGAUUAACCACAUGGUCCGAUCAGAUCACAGGGCAUGGCUGCUUGGUGCUGUCGACCGUGGAAUUUCGUUUGAUAGUGUUUGUUUCAUACUACUAGAAUGGUUUGAUUAGCGCCUGUGGAUUCGGCAAUUAAUUUGAGGUCUUAUAGUCGUAGUUGUAAUCUCCCUUUUGUUUGGUUUCAUUUUGGUUCUAUCUAGUGUUCUGUUGAUCAAAUAAUUGCUCUCUAGAGACAUCGUUUUUACUGCAAGAGCAGAGCAUUUUGGUUCUACUUUCUACUACUCCCUCCGUCCUGUAAGAGCGUUUCACUAGUGUAAAAAAUGCUUUUAUAUAAUGGGAUGAAGUGAGUAAUACAAUACUCAAAGACCAUCGAUUGGAAAAGAACAGAAUAACAUUAAUAUCAUGAAAAAUUAAAAAUUAUUACUCGGCUAUGUAUAUAGCUAACUAAUGAAACAUUUGAUGAUGAAUCUAAAGAUAAGCACGGUCAAUUCUAAAUGUUCGUGAUCGCGUCUAAAUCUCCGUGGACAAGGACGAAUGUCCAAAAUCUAGAAAUGGUUUGAAGGAGUUCUCACUCCCUGGUGUACGGCCUUGGAGUUGCCCUGAUUACACAACGUAGUGCAUUAGUAGAAAGUAGAACCAACAUUUUCGAUCACCAUACGAAAAAAAGUAAAGUAAUGACAGAGUUACAGACGCCAGCUGCAAAGCGACAAAGGCUGACGAGAAAGGCAGCCAGAGCCAGCCAUAAUUCCAGACAGGGCACUGUAGCACAUGUACAGCCCGAGAUUCCUUGCCGUUGUCGCGCGAGCAUCAAGAUCCGCGCCCGAGCAGAUCGGGCCGCGAUCCAGCAGCGCCCGAUCCGUCCGUCCGUUCCGAACCGACCCGUCCGUCAGACACACGGCCGCACGCGGCACGCGCCCGCCCGGGCUCCUUUCCUCUCUCGCCUUUCCGCCUCUGCCUCGUCGCCUCCCCUCCCCCCUCUCCUCCCCACCACCACCACCCCCCGCCCCAUGGCCCGCCCCAAAAAGGCCAAGGCAGCGCCGGCGCCGCCGGCCGUCUGCGAGGCGCUGCUGCUGGCGACCGUCUGCAUGGUCGGCCUCCCCNNNNNNNNNNNNNNNNNNNNNNNNNNNNNNNNNNNNNNNNNNNNNNNNNNNNNNNNNNNNNNNNNNNNNNNNNNNNNNNNNNNNNNNNNNNNNNNNNNNNNNNNNNNNNNNNNNNNNNNNNNNNNNNNNNNNNNNNNNNNNNNNNNNNNNNNNNNNNNNNNNNNNNNNNNNNNNNNNNNNNNNNNNNNNNNNNNNNNNNNNNNNNNNNNNNNNNNNNNNNNNNNNNNNNNNNNNNNNNNNNNNNNNNNNNNNNNNNNNNNNNNNNNNNNNNNNNNNNNNNNNNNNNNNNNNNNNNNNNNNNNNNNNNNNNNNNNNNNNNNNNNNNNNNNNNNNNNNNNNNNNNNNNNNNNNNNNNNNNNNNNNNNNNNNNNNNNNNNNNNNNNNNNNNNNNNNNNNNCUGGGAAUGGGUUGUGAUCCGCUUGUUCGUCGACUUACCGCGGCCGCCUGGAUGCCGCGUUUUGCUAGUAUUUUGUUCUGGGGCUGCGGCUGGGGCUGGGGCGGAUUCGGGGGCGGGUGGUGGAGAUCGCCGGGUUAUGUUCAUCUUCUGUGAUGAGGGGCGGCUGCGUGUGUUCUGCUCUAUAGAGGCCGAGAUCCUGGUCGUUCGGUCUUCCUGAUUUAGGUGAGAAAAUUGUGCUGGGAAUUGUAUCUGGAUUGGUUCGAGCGAUCCGGGUUUCUACAAUGCAAGUGCAUCUAGAUUGUUUCCUUCUCCCUUCUCUCCUACAUCGCCACCCUGCCGUGAGCCUGAAGCGUCAUAUGGAGGAUCUCUUGCGCGUCAGGGUGGAUUCAAAUGUGGUUCAUCCAGAUCACGGGAAAAGUGUUUUUGCUUUCCUUGUUCCAUUUGCAGAUCACGUGCUGUCAUGGUCUUGCAUAAAUCAUUCUUCUGGAUCUAGGGGCGAAUUCCCUUGCCCCCCUCGCUGCUGUUUUUUGGUCUCGGUGGGGAUUUGGUGCGUGCUAUGUUGCGGAGAUAAGUCAUAAUAGACGAAUGCUUUCAUUCCGUGAUCGAAGCGAUUAUGCUCGAUUGUGUGAUCCAACAACAGUACAAAGGUUAUAGUUAUUAUUGGGCAUUAUGAAGGAUAUACAGUGUAAUGGAAUUACCGGUUCGGUUUCGCUCUACAUUUGAGCUGUGAUGAAGAACUCCAGGUGGAUUUCUCGAUACCAUUGAAAAUGGUGUGGUUUCUGUAUUCUAAUUGCUCUUAGGAUUUUCGCCCUGGGGGCAAUAUUGCUACAUCAGUCCCUUUAUUUUGCUUAUUAAUUUGUUCUCUUAGAUUUUUUUGCAAGUUCUCCAGGAAAUAUCCUUUUCCUUGGGAGAUCAUGCGCACAAUUUGUGGAUUGACCUUGAUUUUACAUCAUCUCUACUGUGAUCUGACGGUCUGAACUCCUUUAAGUCCUUUUUAUCUCAUAAUUUGAGUUUGUCAACUGCUCAUAUACUUCGUACUUUCGAGUCUUGGGCAGUAUAAUGUUUGUUGUGUUCUACCAAAUUUUAGUUUUGGGGGAGAACACAUUGGAUUAAUGGAUUUGUGUUGAGCAGGUGUUGUGCUAAAGAAAGCAAGGAAGAUUGCAAACGGAAAAGACAAUGCCAAUCUGGUGCUGGGAGCUUUUGUGGACACUCUUGUUGUUCUCCCAGAUGAUCUUGUGCAAGUGAUUGCAAAGGUAGGUUUAAUGCACUUAUAUGUUAGUUGAAACACAUUGCCUUCUGAUGGAGCUGACAAAAAUGGUUGUGGUUGUUUUGCCAGGACUUCUCCCUUGCUACUAAAGAUAUUUCUAAAACUAGUGCUUGUGAUGUGGUGGCAGCCAGUGGAUUGAUGCAGCCUCAAACUUCACAUUUGGGAGACCCAAAAGCAUCCAGGUCUGUAAAUGUGUAUCCAUCAAAGUAUACCGAUUGCUUGCCCCCAGUAACUGGAUACCUUUAACUGUUACAAUUUUUCAUUGCUGGUUCAGAAUGUACAUCAAGCAAUAUAUUCUACUUGAUUGUAUUCUGCUUAUUUUUACCAUGUCUUAUUCAUUGUUGACCUUCAUUAAUGCUAUUUCUGUCACAGACAGGUUGAGAAGUGCAGCAGGCUGUGUCAGAAUAGUGAUAACCCCACUGGGAAAAUUGCUCCAAGUACUAACUCUAGCCCUUUUUGUCUUCUAUUCAGAUAGCCCUUUCAUCCUUCCCUUCCUUGCACUAAACCUUUCUGAUUUCUCAGUGAACAGUAAUGCUGCAAAUGUCUGCUCUCCAAUUGAACAUAUAGUGCCAAAUUGGAAUGCAAUUCCAACUUCUGCUGAUAUUGGAUCAAAAGAUGGAAAUGUUGUUAAUUCAGUUUUAGCUACUCCUGUGGUAGCUUCAAAUGUUAAAACAUCUCAACCCAUCAACAAUUCAUCUAUUAAAGCUGUCAUGUCAAGCAAAACCACUGCUAAGGUGAGCUCUUUUGGUAUGUGUUAGUAGCGAUAGAUUUGUCUACAUCUUAUUCUUCCUUAUAAAGUACUCCCUCCGUUCCCAAAUAUAAGUCUUUCUAGAGAUUUCAACGAGUGACUACAUACGGAGCAAAAUGAGUGAAUCUACACUCUCAAACAUGUCUACAUACAUCCGUAUAUUGUAGUCCAUUUGAAAUGUCUAAAAAGACUUUUUAGGAACGAACGGAGUAGUACUCCCUCCGGUCCAUAUUAAUAUGGACUGUAGGGGAGUACCUGCUGAUUUUGUAAGAAAAAUAAGCAUGCCAUGUAUCUCCAUUUGGAGCAAGGCAUAGUAAUAAACUGUACGAAUUUAUGUAUUAUUUCAACUAUGUACAAUGCUUAACUAUACUGAUUUAUUGAUUAUUUCAAUAUGUUGUAAAUGUAUGCAUUUUCUCAAUAGUAAUGUAUAAUGCUAUGUUGCUAAUAAUAUUAUUGCAGAUGCAAGUAUUGAAAUACAAAUUUAUAUAUUAACUCAACUCCGCACAUAAUGCUUAACUGUACUGAUUUAUUGAUUAUCUCAAUUAUUUCCUAAAUGUGUGCCUUUUCUAUGCAUUAUACUUAGUACUCUCAUGCCAAACAUAAAAUUAUUGUCGAUAACUGAAUUCACAGGGAAAAUACUUUAGAAUCUAGUCGUAAAAUUAAAUACGGCCUGCCAAGGGUCAAUGUUCUUGACCAAAGUAUUGCUGCUAUGAUUAGUGCAUUCCUAUUUUGGAUUAUGAUGCAUAGAAGUUUUCUUUUUUCUGAAAAGAUUCAAAUAAGGCACGUGCAACAUUGCCAGGUGGGAGCGCGUAGAAGAGAACUGUUUCUUUCCAUGUACGACAAUUGUUCUAAUGUUGUACUGUCGAUGCUUAAAUAGGCACUGGCACGUCUUAGGUGCUUGUGCAUAUAUCUUUGAUCUAAUUGGUAGAUAAAACAACAAUCUAAGCCUCUACAAGACAUACUAGUUGCCUUGCAUGAGGAGAUGCCUCUUACUUUGGCACUUGCCUAUACUCAUCUUUAAGCACCCAUGUAAAUGCAUCUUGCAUUUGUACAUGCCCUACUUCCAAUGCCUUUUUUACUGCUGUUCAUGAACCUUCCUGUGCUUUAUUAUCAUCUUCAGUACUACAUUAUAUAUAUGACAUGCAGUUCAUUGUUUUCAGUCUAUUCAUUUUGCCUUUUAACAUUAUUAUGUCAGGAAUCCAAACUCAAUCCCCAUGCUAAGGUCUUCGCUCCAUCUUUUGCAAGUUCCAGACCAGUACUUGCAGCUGCACCCCCCGUUAACCCAAACUAUAUCUCAAACUCGGUCUCUGGAGUUCCAACUGGUGUACCUGUAUUUCAAACUCACUCGCAUCCAGGCAGUUCGUCUCUAUCCAGCAAGGUUGUUCAUUAUAAUAACCUGGCUCCUGGAAACUUUGGAAUGUCACCUCAAUAUGUUCAAUCAGUAAGUAACUUGAUUUCUUUUAGCUGGAUGCACUACCAUAUUAUAUAUCAAGUGAUACGAGCUAAAUACGACAUAAGAUGUCAACUCUUACACAUGGUUAACUAUGAUAUGUUCAUGCUUCUGAAUUUUGAUGCACGCUGCUGUCUACAUUUUUUGCAUGACAGGUUGUGGGGCAUAAUGUCGGAAGGCUAGAUCCUGCAAGACUCGGUACACCAUAUCACCCCUUGCAAGUGGGAUCAACCUAUAUCAGCCCUAGUCCUCAGCCUGUAAGUCCUAUAUUUAUUUUUUAGUAAGAUAUGUAGUCCAUAUUAAUUUAGAAAGCUGUUCAUUUGUGUCUAUUUAUUAGUUGAAAUUAUUAUCAUCUGCUACUCAGCUGAACCAAAUUGUUUUAUUUCAUACUUUAUAGAUGGUCGAUGGGAAGUUCAGUCCUGUUGUUUAUGUUCAUCCAGUUUCUCAGGUGAGCCAUUGCUGUUUGUAUCAAGGGUUCAAGGGGAUCUCUUUCAUAGGAGGAGGAUGAUACACGCAUAAUUGUAGAAACAUGCCUAUCUAGAAAUUAUCCAAGCUGAACUUUGCAAAUAAAAUUGUUUUUAGAAAUAGACUAGCAAAACAUGCCCGUGCAUUGCAACGGGAAAAAAAAUCAUCCCUCAUACUCACACCUGACAACAUCGAAUCCCUUGAAAUCUUUCACGAUGCCACACGACAAACAACAUGAUAAGUGGUGUUGCGCAAAAAUCAUGAGGUUGGAUGAUUUUUGAAGUGUACUCAAGAUGUUUCCAAUUUAUUAGGGAACAGAAAUAUCAACGUUAAGCCGGCAUUUCCAAAAUACCCCAUAUAAAGAAGAUAUUAAUUAAGGUUGCAUCCUAAACGGAAUUUUAGAAAUGAUUAAUAUAAUAGCAUAUUUGAAAUCUACACAUUUUUGAGUGAUUUCCAUAUAUAACAUGUUAAUUUUGGAGUUGGGAUUUGAAAGUUAUGAUUAAUUUUUUUUGAAUCUGCCUGAAAAUAGAAAGGAUAAAAAUAGAGUAGCUGGGCCGAAACUGGAGCAUCGGGAUCGAACCCAGGUCUCAGGUGUGAAGCAGUGAGGCUCAUACCACUAUGCCUCUCGGGCGCUUGUGAUGUUAUGUCAGGGGCUUACUAUUAAUAAACUGUAGCUGUCGGUGAUUUUAGAAGGGAAAAAGUAAACUGUUUUUUUUGACUUACUGGUGGAAUGGUGGGUAAUUAUUAACAACUCCAGGGGUAAUUUAAUGACUGACGGACAGAAGCACUAAUCCCUUUAUUAUUAGGUAUAGAUAUAGAUAGAUAUCUUUUUGCCUCGGUAAACCUUGAACGUUGGUUAGUGGAGAUUAGCAUCACACAUUAGUAUCUUGCGGCUUCAGUGUUUGCGAUGGAUGUUGCGACCCUGAUGCUGUAUAGACUUAUUUUGUGCAUCAAAUUCACUUGCUUAUCAAAUGGUUUUUAAUUUUUUCCUUAAAAUCUGGUGCGGACACAGAAUUUUGAUAAGUAUAAACUGGAACAACGCAAUGUUUACUGUAAAUAUAAACUGGAACGGACACAGAAUUUUGAUAAGAGAACUAGAAUGGACACACAUUUUCUUCUGGCUCAUUCUGUCUUAUCUGUUAUUUUUUCUAUUGAAGGAUGCUAUGCGUGGAACACCAGUUAUGUCCCAAGUAUGGCCUCGCCCUUUGCUGUUGAACUCGCAUCAAGCUAGCAUGCAAAAGUUUCAAGGUAACAGACAUUGCAGGUUUCGGCCUCAUUGUCUUUGAUUGAAUAAUAAAAAGUACUGAGGCGUUUUGUUAUCACACUGAUGCCAUAUUUUCAUGCCCUCUCCAGCAGGCACUGCCCCAUUCUUUGGGGCUCCGCCAGUCAUGGCAACUGGGAACCUGCCCAUGGUGAUGCCGAGCCCUGCAACGCUUGUGCAGCCAUUCCAGGCCAUUCAUCCAAUCAUGGUUCCAUCUGCGACCAGUAUGUAUCCAGGCAAAUACAUGUAAACUUGUCAUACCGCUGUGAUAUCUGAUUUCUUUGGAAGAAGAAUCUUGGCUUUACCCCUUUGGCUUUUCGGGGUAUACAUCUAAGAGGACUCGCAGUUUUGCCUACCCUGUCAAUUCACCUACUAGUUGCUGGUCAUUGUCCGUCUUUUUAUUGGGAGGACUUGCAACGUUUGCCAUAAGCCAUAGUCGGUGUGGCUUAUGGUUUAAUUUUUCGGGAGAGUUCAUGGGAGGAGUUGAUAUGAAAAUAGAGAGGGGAUUGAAGCGAUUCUUUGACUGCCUUGGCGGCAACACAUUUUACCUGUUCUUUUGCGUUUGCAGAGCAGUAUGUACCGUGAAACAUUGUAAAUGAGUAAGAUAGUGAAGUGGUCCCUUUUCUUCUCCAUCUUGCAAGUGUGAUGUCGCUGCUAUGAAUGUUAUCUUUUGUUUCAAGUGUAAUUCUGGGACUAUUAUUCUUGUAACUUUCAUGUGUAGCAUGUACAAUCUUUCAUUGCAGUGCUUUAAGCAAUUUGAUCGGUUGUGUUCCUCGGUGGAAAGAAGUCGGUCAGGGCGCGCUACACGGCUGAUCUUUUGCCAUCCGAUCCGUGUCCCUGGAUAGGACUACGUGUUGGAGUCGUAUCGUUAAGGUUAGGAUCCGAGUCUUAUAAACCCCGACAGGACGAGACAAAUAAUAAUCGAUCUGGUUGCGUGCAAAUCGAGCAGCCGUGGUGUACGUGCGUGUAUCUCGCCGGACCAGUCAUCAAAGCUUGCUUUGCUUCCUCGUCGUCGUUGCCGGAAGUGCUCGAGGCUGGGCCAACUGUGGGUGGGAUGGGAAUGCCUAUGCACGUCCACUCGCUGCCGCCGACGGUCACGAAGAUGACGCCGCCGCUGCCGGCCACGAAGAUGAAGAUCACGUCGCCGCUGCCGGUCACGGUGGGCGCGUCGUCCACAUCGAGACGCAUCAUAGAGCACGUCACCAGGACGUUCAGCUUCGAGGUGACCAACUACCUGCAGCUCAAGGACGCGGGCUUCCACGCGCGCGUCACUUGGCCCGUCUUCAGCUUCGGCGGCCACGACUGGCAGAUCGCCUUCUACCCGGACGACGAGGACGGCCACGCCUCCUCCUACCUGCGUUAUCUCGGCCCAGCCAAGGAGGUGAGGGCCAAGUUCACGCUGAGCGUGCCGGGGAACGAGGGCCAGCCACCGCUAGUCCGCCGCGACACGCCGGAGCGCGUCUUCACCCCGGAGAACAAGCCAGGGCUUCCUCAAAUUCGUCGCCAAGUCCAAGCUGGACGAACUCGGAGACGGCCGCUUCACGAUACGGUGCGUCCUCACCGUCGUCAGGGACAGGGCCGUGUCUCCGCCGCCACCGGAGCUGCCCGGCCUCGAGCGCAUGCUCAGCGAGGGGACAGGCGCCGACGUCACGUUCCGCGUGGGCGGUCGGGAGUUUCGCGCGCACCGGUUCCUCCUGGCCGCGCGGUCGCCGGUCUUCGGAGCACAGCUCUUUGGCCCCAUGCCGAAGAAGGGCACGCGGCGCGUCGUCGAGGUCGUCGGCGUGGAGCCGGCCAUCUUCCAGAUGCUCCUUCACUACGUCUACACGGGGUCGCUACCGGUGUGCCGCGACGAAGGUGGGUAUGACGCCAUGGUGAUGGAGCCCUGCUGGUCGCCGCAGGCAAGUAUGGGCCGGAAAAGUUGAAACUCAUGUGUGAAGAGGAGCUGUGCAGAAGGAUCGACGAGGAGGCCGUGGUGACCACGUACGUGCCGACCAAUCAACGCAGUUGUAUCCGACCUAAGGAUGGGGUGCGCUUAGAGCUUAGGCCGUCAAAGAAAGUGUUGGGCACCGUCCUGGAGUUCAAGGAGCGCUUCAUCUCGACGUGUUGCCGACCACUAGCAUUGGAGGGAGGAGUCUUGGGGACAAAAGGUGGCCGUGAUGAAGACGAGGAACUUGAUCAGAGCAAGAAAUUCAAAAGGACACGUACAAAAUAUUGAUGAUGAGUUUUCUUUCUGCAUGGACGGCAUUUUUGUGCCAUCGCCAAGUGCCUUUAUUGCGCCGGACAAUGUUUGUAAGCCAAACAUUUGAUGCUUUGGGUAUUAUUAAAACCUUGGAAUUUGGUCGAAAAAACCUCGAAAAUCAAGCCUUUCUUAUGAAAUUUGCAUUUCUUUCUUCGCUUUAGCUAUAUGUUAGGCAACUGAAAUUUUAAUUUGGGUCAGUCAAAAUUGUAACCGUUGAUUCUUGCGAUAUGUGUGCACUNNNNNNNNNNNNNNNNNNNNNNNNNNNNNNNNNNNNNNNNNNNNNNNNNNNNNNNNNNNNNNNNNNNNNNNNNNNNNNNNNNNNNNNNNNNNNNNNNNNNNNNNNNNNNNNNNNNNNNNNNNNNNNNNNNNNNNNNNNNNNNNNNNNNNNNNNNNNNNNNNNNNNNNNNNNNNNNNNNNNNNNNNNNNNNNNNNNNNNNNNNNNNNNNNNNNNNNNNNNNNNNNNNNNNNNNNNNNNNNNNNNNNNNNAAAGGUGUUGGGCACCGUCCUGGAGACCGCCGGGUUCAAGGAGCACUUCGUGACGAGUUGCCGACCACCAUCAAUCCAUCAUAGGACGGAGGAGUCUUCUUUGGGACAGACAAAGGUGGCCGUGAAGACGAGGAACUUGAUCAAAGCAAGGAAUUCAAAAGGACACGUACACAAUAUUGAUGUUGAUUUUCUUUCUGAUAAACAUAAACGACAUUUUUGUGCCAGUGCCAAGUGCCUUUAUCACGCUGGACAAUGUUUGUAAGCCAAAACUAUUUGAUGCUUUAGGAAUUAUUAAAACCUUGGAAUUUGUUCGAAACACCCUUGAAAAUCAACAUGUUACCUUUCUUAUGGAAUUUGCACUUCUUAGAUCCUAUAGGCGCUGAAAGAAAAUAAUAAUCAAAUUACUACACCCUUUCCUGAAUCUUUUAUAUCUAAAUAACUACCCUACACUAUUACAUUUCUCUCCACGUCCUUUCACAUAAUCUCACUUUUUUAUAAUUGUCCGGUCUAAAUUGUGUGACAUCCUCAAGUCAUGCAUAUACACAUAAGUUACAAUUUUACAUUAAUAUAUUCAUAGAAACCAUGCCACCUCAUCAAGUUAUGCUUGUCUUUUUUUUGUCGGAAAGGGGGAGGAGAGAGGGGGAUCAAGUCAUGCAUGUAGUCACAAGUUAAAUUUUUAGAAUUGUUUUCAUAUGGUCAUGUCCGGUAUUCAUGAACAUUUUUAUUCCACAAACCUUUUUUAAAUUCAUGUACAUUUUGCAAAUUUGUGUUUUUUCAAAUUCAUGAACAUUUUUAAAAUUUGUGAUUUUCCCAAAUUCAGGAAGAUUUUUAAUUCAGGAAGAUUUUUUGAAAUUCAUGAAUUUUUUUAAAUUUCUGUGAACAUUUUUUAUUUCACCUUUUUUCCCCUGAAGACAAACAGUAGCCUGUUUUCUUCGUUGAGCGAGAAGUUGUUUACUCGUUGGGGCCAAUAUUAUGCUCAUGUGCAUUAUACCAGUUAUAGCCAAUUUGCCGUUACUAUUUGCAAGGCUAGUUUGUCAGAAUGCACAUACCUGCUAUAGCCAAUUUGUCUUUUCUAGUACUUCCUCCGUUCCAAAAUAGAUGACUCAACUUUGUACUAACUUUAGCACAAAGUUGGGUCAUCUAUUUUAGUACAAAGUUGAGUUAUCUAUUUUGGAACGGAGGGAGUAUUUGCAAUGAGGUUUGACAGAAAAAAGAGAUCUACGUCAAAUAGACCUACUUUACUUUGGAAGAAAGGCAAGUUACUGUGUUAUCACAGAUUUUAUUUGCAGCUUCAACAAUAGAAGGAUUUGCAAAAUAUCUUUCAUUGAUAAAAUGUACUCCGCAAUGGGUGAAAACAACGUGAAUUAUGUGAAGAACAUUAUAUGAACUAAAUUGCCCCCAUUGCAACAAGACCUUUGUUGCAAUUGCAACAGGACCCUUGUUGUAGAAGCAUCUCCGACUCGCGGUCGUCAACGUCACCAUUGCAAUAUGGACCCUGUUGCAAAGAAGGCUCUUUGGCUCUCAGCCUUGUCCAUCACCAUUGCAACAAGACCCCUCUUGCAAUUGCAACAAGAACCUUCCCUAACCUUCGUGCCUUCCCUGCAGAUCAUAAGCGUCGUCGGCUUGAUCGACUACUUCCCUUGAUCCGUAGGGUUGCUGUGGGCCGUUGGAUCGAAAGAAGAUGCAACGGCGAGGAGGCGGUCCACGAGCGCACCUUGAUCCGUAGGGUGAGCGCUAGCGUUUCCUUUCUUCGAUUCCUCUCCAAAGUCGGACGCCCACGUAUACGCGUGCAAAUCCUUCUCCCCAUCGGGACUCCUUGAGGAUUUACUCCUUUCUUCGGAUUCCUUUCUCUUUUAUAUAAGCCGCCUAGGUACGGUACGAUACGUACGCGCGUGCAAAUUCUUUUUCUUUUCUAGUUCAUCAAGACGAUCGAGUUAACUCCCCGUGUGUUCUCCACCGCUGCCGGCCAUGGCUAACAGCAGCUCGACCUCACCGGAGAUCACGUCGAGAUGUGUCACGGUCAGGGAGCACACCGGUACGCUCAAUUUGGAGGUGACCGAUUAUCUGGGGCUCGUUGGCAUCGGUGUCGGCGAGCCCCUUACUUCGUCCGUCCUCGAAGUCGGCGGCUACAAGUGGAUGAUCAGCUUCUACCCAGACGGAGUCGAGAACUUUCAUGGCCACGCUGCAGCGUUUGUGCACUGUUACUUUGACAGCAAAGACGCGGAUGUGACCGCCAAGUUCACGCUGAGCAUCCUAGAGAAAAGGAGCCAGGUAAACGUAGCCAGCUUCGAUUCGAUGAAGCGCGUCUUCUCUCCGCGCGAUUACAAGACAUGGGGCCAUCACGGAUUCGUGGACAAGGCCAAGCUGGGAUGGCUGUCGCAACUGGGGGACGGCUGCUUCACGGUACGGUGUGUCCUCACCGUCGUCACGGACACGGACGAGUCACCGCCUCUGCAGCUGCCCACAGUGCCCAGCCUACUCUCCAGCCAACUCGAGAGCAUGCUCGAGGACGGGAGAGGCGCCGACGUCACGUUCCUCGUGGGUAGCCAGGAGUUCCGCGGGCACAGGUCCUUUCUGGCCGCGCGGUCGCCGGUCUUCGGAGCUCAGUUCUAUGGCCCCAUGGCGGAGAAGGACGACAUGCCGCGCGUCAAGGUCAUCGACGUUGAGCCGGACAUCUUCCAGAUGAUGCUUCACUACAUCUACAAAGACUCGCUGCCGCUGCCACCCGCCGACGACGAAGGAGGCUACAGCGUCGCGGCGAUGCAGCACCUGAUGGUCGCGGCAGACAUGUAUGGGCUGGAGAGGCUGAAGCUCAUGUGUGAAGAUGAGCUGUGCAAAAUUAUGGAUGCAUCGACCGUUAUGAGCACGUACGCGCUCGCGAAUCAGCACCACUGUAAUCGACUCAAGGAUGCGUGCGUGGAAUUUAUGUCGUCCAAAGAAGUGUUGGCCGCCAUCCUCGAGACCAAUGAGCACUUCAUGACACGUUGCCGACCACUGCCACUGGAGGGGAAUCAUGAAGAGGAAGAAGUUGACCACAGCAGGAAAUUCAAAAGGACUCGUACAAAAUAGAUGUUGGUUUUCUUUUUUGCAUAAUGAACCAUAGCAAAAGUGCCUCAACGUUUGUAAGCCGAAAAUGUCUAAAGAUUGAUGUACUAAAACCUUGGUAUUUGUUUACAAGGUACUUGAAAAAGUGGAAGAUUUAUGUUUGCCUUCUUAUGAAAUUUGCAUACAAACUAUUGCAUUCCUCCUUGGAUCCUUUGGGUGUUGAAAGAAAAUAAUAACCAUAUUCAGAACCCUUGUGCGAAAAGCUCUUUCCUGGCCAAAAUCAUCGAAAUGGAAAAAACCUGCCAUUUUAACCCAAUGUCGUAAUAUUUGUCGUUUCUCCACAGAAAAUUGCACACAACAAAAGAACCUGAACCUGAACACAAAUUUUCUUCUUACUUAUUCUGUCUAAUAUGUUAUUUUGUUUUUCUAUUGAAGGAUGGUAUGCGUGGAGCACCAGUUAUGUCCCAAGUAUGGCCUCGCCCUUUGCUGUUGAACUCGCAUCAAGCUAGCUUGCAAAAGUUUCAAGGUAACAGAUAUUGCAAGGCUCGCGUAGGUGGAGGUCGUCGUUUGGCGUCGUGGCGGCAUCGAUGGCGGAGGACCUGCCAAAGUUGACACCUCAAUUUGCUUUGAAGAUGGACCAGUGAAAGAUGGCGGCGACGACACAUGUGAGUGCGUCGGACCGGUUUGUGCCCCGGACCUGGCAGAUGGCUCGGUCGGGUUUCCGGCUUUAGAUGUUAGGCUUAGGUGAAAGGUCUGGGUAUGUGGCCCAGCUUGCACCCCUUCAUCAUAUGGAUAGGAGUAGCGACAGAUUGCCAAGAUGGUGGGUUCAGGCAUAUCUUUGUUUUACUUUGUAAGGUCCUCAAGUAUAAUCAAUAAAAUGGCCGCAUGCAUCUCCCAGAUGCAGAUGUAGAGGCCGGGGGUCAUCCUUCUUUUAAAAAACAACAACAGAUAUUACAGGUUUCGGCCUCAUUGUCUUUGAUUGAAUAAUAAAAAACACUGAAGCGUCUUGUUAUCACACUGAUGCCAUAUUUCAUGCUCUCUCCAACAAGCACUGCCCCGUUCUUUGGGGCUCCGCCGGUCAUGGCAACUGGGAACCUGCCCAUGGUGAUGCUUGUGCAGCCAUUCCAGGCCAUUCAUCCAAUCAUGGUUCCUCCCCGCGAUCAAUAUGUAUCCAGGCUGUUAGAGUUGUGUCGAAUAUUGUAUACAAGGUAGGUUAUAAUAACUCUGAGUUGUAUUGUGUUUAGAUAGGAUAUAGAGUUGUGUCUAAGUAUGACAUUUGUAUCCUAGGCCUCUCAUAUAAUGCGGGGUAGACACACGACGUAAACUAUGCCAACAUAAUAGCACAGGAACGCAGGGGAAGCCGGUGGCAUGUGCCAGCGUCCAGGGCGACCGGGUGCAGUAUUGUAGUGGUGUCAUGGGAAGGAGUGCCCAUAGUCAGGCCUCGGGAUGUAGCCAUAUAGGUGAAUCUCGUUAACAAAUCUCGGUGUCGUGCUCGUGUGAUUACUUGAUCCUCGGUAGAUCAACGGUGACCUCGAAUUUAUUAUAACAAAUGGUAUCAAGAACAAGGUUCGAUUUGAGGUCGCGGUUGUUGAUCCCAAGAAAGUAUCGAAUUGAGAUACAACCGGCUACGGUGUGGUUCUCGGCGAGAUUGAGAAAAGCGACCAGAUGUACAUCGUAGCGUGCGACAGGCGUAUUCGUGGAAGGUCUUCGUGAUGGCAGACCGGGUCGGUACGGAUCGAUCCGGCAAGUCCGUGUGCAGAAAGCGUACGCGCGUGAAGACGGCCCAAGGGCUGCCGUGGCUCGAACGUGAGCCUGCUGGAGACUAUACAAAGUGAACGUGAGGUUUGUUGAAAAAGAAAAGGAAUUGCCAAGGCCACGUGUAUGUACAGGGGCAGUUUGACUGGAUCCAAUUUGGUCCUUGUUUCUGCUACAGGGUGCACGGAGAAGCUAAAAAACAAGGGACAAUUGCAUUUUUGCCCCUAGUUGGUUUUUAUCCACGGGUUUUGCCCUUACUUUUCAAGCUUGCUCAGUUUUGCACUUACUUUUUCCGUCGUGGUCCCUCGAAUGCCCUUUGACCGUUUGACCAAAACUUUGAAAAUUUAUAACUAAUUCAUAUGAACUCAGAAAAAUAAAAAUAAGUAUCAAAAUGUUCAGAUAAACAUUACCUUUAUGUGCAUAUCAUUUGCAUUCAGGACAAAAGAACCCUUUAAACUACCUAAGGUAAUUAAUGUUAUUAACAUUAUUAAAAAUAAAAAGGUAUAAACAAUAUUUUUUUCAUGAAUAAAAAUUACAUGCAAAUGUAAGUGAUGUUUUCUGAACAUCCAGAUAUCUUAUUUUCAUUUGUUUGAGUUCAUAUCAUCUUGUUAUGAAUGUUCUAACGACUUUGACCAUUAUUUGGAAACUUCAUAACAAGUUGAUCCGAACUCAGAAAAAUGCAAAUAAGAUAUCAGGAUGUUCAGAAAACAUCACCUACAUUUGCAUGUAAUUUUUAUUCAUAAAAAAAAUAUUGUUUAUACCAUUUUAUUUUUAAUAAUGUUAAUAACAUUAACUACCUCAGGUAGUUUAAACGAUGCUUUUGUCCUGAAUGCAAAUGAUAUGCACAUAAAGGUAAUGUUUAUCUGAACAUUUUGAUAUCUUAUUUGCAUUUUUCUGUGUUCAUAUGAAUUAGUUAUGAAUUUUUAAAGUUUUGGUCAAACGGUCAAAGGGCAUUCGAGGGACCUCGACGGAAAAAGUAAGGGCAAAACUGAGCAACCUCGAAAAAUAAGGGCAAAACCCGUGGGUAGGAACCAACUAAGGGUAAAAAUGCAAUUGUCUCAAAAAACAAAUAGAGACAAGGAAAAUUGUGCAGGUUGCAUGAAAGUUUUUUGGAGUCCAUUUGUUAUGAAGGCUUGGAACAUGUGGACAGGUUAUGGAGGCACGCGGUCAAGCGCGUCAUGAGGAUCAUGUUUAACAGGGCGUCUGAGUAAGGCCAACUCCAGCAUGUGACCCUAUUCCGGGUGCGUCCGUUUGGGGCAAAACAGACAAACCAGACGGCCCAGCAGGCGGGCGCAAACGGACUUUUGUCCGUUUUCUGUCCGCUUUCGACCCAUCCCCGGCUCAAGUUUGGGCCGCUUUUGGGAUGAAACGGACAGCACGCGGACGGGCGGGACGAGCGCGCUUGUCCUCCUUUGGCCCGCCCGUCGGUGGCACAAAGCACCACCCCCGCGCCCCAUUUCGCGCCAUUUCCCCCCAAACCCUCCCACGUCCCGCCCACCACCCUCCCCCGUCCAUGGCCGACGCCCCGCCGAAUUCCGGCGGCCUGGCCGUCGACCCGCCCGGAAAGGUGAAGAAGAAAGCGGCCAAGGGUCCAAGGAAGAUGCGGCCGGAAUGCACGCCGGAGGAGCUCGCAAAGCUGGACGCGGAAUCGGCGAAGAGGAGGAACCGGAGGGCGGUCGUCAAGGGCAAGAACGCCGCAGCCAAGUUCUCCGCCGAGUGCGAUGCGGUGGAGGCCGUGCGGCGCAAGGCCGAGGUCGACGAGAAGGAGGACAUCGUCAACCAAGCGACACUCUCUUCAUGCUUGGGCUUUGCCGUCCGACGGGUUUCUCUGGAGCUGCCGUCGGCCCGACGAGCACCGGCUCGUUGGUCGCCAGGCCUCAGCACUACCCCUCGCCAACGUCGCGGACCACGCCUUUGUCGCCCGGUUUUCCCCCGCCAAGACACGAUGGCCAGACCCGUUUUUCGGGGUCGCUGGACAUUGGCGUGAUCGCGCCAUCCACCCCGCGCCCCUCGGCCGUCAUCGACCUCGAUGUCACGCCGGGGUCCAGCAGCGGCGGCCGGCCGUCCGUCGAGAUGCAAAGAAAGCAAGCACGGCCGACGUCUACGAGCACCAUGCCAUCGCCCCGCGUCCUAUUCGACGAAAUGCCAACACCAACGCCAACAGUCGACGACCCCUUCUACAGCCAGUUCAUGGAGAAUGUGAUUUACGAGGGCGGGCGUGACGCUGCCUACGAUCCCGAGGAGACCCAAAGUCAGGAUGGCCACGCCCAGUAUGUUGCCGAUGAAGACAAUGAGGCCCACGACCAUGCUGACUACGACCAUGGUGACUCGUGGCAUGAAGAUGAUGACAUCUAUUGCGAAGGUGAUGAUGAUGAAGAAGAAGGCGUUGAUAUUGGGGUCGAGCCAUUGUUCAUCGACGAGCUCACCCAAAGAGCGGAAGCACAAAAAAGGAAGAAGAACAUUCGUAUGGGUUCAUGCUCACAAGAAGAGGACAAGUUGAUUUGCCAAUGUUGGAUGGAGAUUAGUCAAGAUUCGAGGAACGGUGCGCAACAAAAGGGACUUGUUUUUUGGACGAGAGUCCACAAAACAUUCCAUGAAAAAAAGUUGUUUGCGCCCUACCAAAUUACAAGCGACCGUGGCAUCACCUCGAAUCAAAGGAGGUGGUUGUUCAUCCAACAGGAAUGUGAAGGAAAUAUGCCCUAGAGGCAAUAAUAAAGUUGUUAUUUAUAUUUCCUUAUAUCAUAAUAAAUAUCUAUUAUUCAUGCUAGAAUUGUAUUAACCGGAAACUUGAUACAUGUGUGGAUACAUAGACAAAACAUAGUGUCCCUAGUAAGCCUCUACUAGACUAGCUCGUUAAUCAAAGAUGGUUAAGUUUCCUAACCAUAGACAUGUGUUGUCAUUUGAUGAACGGGAUCACAUCAUUAGGAGAAUGAUGUGAUGGACAAGACCCAUUCGUUAGCUUAGCAUAAUGAUCGUUAAGUUUUAUUGCUAUUGCUUUCUUCAUGACUUAUACAUGUUCCUUUGACUAUGAGAUUAUGCAACUCCCGAAUACCGGAGGAAUACCUUGUAUGCUAUCAAACGUCACAACGUAAAAGGGUGAUUAUAAAGAUGCUCUACAGGUAUCUCCGAAGGUGUUUUGUUGGGUUGGCCUAGAUCGAGAUUAGGAUUUGUCACUCCGAGUAUGGGAGAGGUAUCUCUGGGCCCUCUCGGUAAUGCACAUCAUAAUAAGCCUUGCAAGCAAUGUGACUAAUGAGUUAGUUACAGGAUGAUGCAUUACGGAACAAGUAAAGAGACUUGCCGGUAACGAGAUUGAACUAGGUAUGAGGAUACCGACGAUCGAAUCUCGGGCAAGUAACAUACCGAUGACAAAGUGAAUAACGUAUGUUGUCAUAACGGUUCGACCGAUAAAGAUCUUUGUAGAAUAUGUAGGAACCAAUAUGAGCAUCCAGGUUCCGCUAUUGGUUAAUGACCGGAGAGGUGUCUCGGUCAUGUCUACAUAGUUCUCGAACCCGUAGGGUCUGCACGCUUAACGUUCGAUGACGAUUUAUAUUAUGAGUUAUGUGUUUUGGUGACCGACGAUUGUUCGGAGUCCCGGAUGAGAUAACGGACAUGACGAGAAGUCUCGAAAUGGUCGAGAGGUAAAGAUUGAUAUAUUGGACGAUAGUAUUUGGACACCGGAAUGGUUCCGUAGUGUUUCAGAUAUUUAUCGGAGUACCGAGAGGUUACCGGAACCCCCCGGGGGAAGUAAUGGGCCACAUGGGCCAUAGGGGAGAGGCAAGGCAGCCCGCAAGGGGGUGGCGCACCCCCAUGGGGAGUCCAAAUUGGACAAGGGGAGGGGGCGCGACCCCCCUUUCCUUCUCCUUUUCCAUCUCCUUCCCCCUUUCCCCCUUCGAUAAAAGGAAGGGGGGGGGCGAAUAGGACUAGGAGUCCAAGUGGGAUUCCUCCCCACUUGGCGCGCCCUAGUCCGGCCUCCUCCCCUCUCCCUCCUUUAUAUACGGGGGCAUGGGGGCACCUCUAGGAACAUCAAUUUUUUCUUAGCCGUGUGCGGUGCCCCCCUCCACCGUUUACUCCUCGAGUCAUAUUGUCGUAGUGCUUAGGCGAAGCCCUGCGCGGAUAACUUCACCAUCACCAUCACCACGCUGUCGUGCUGACGGAACUCUCCCUCAACACUUUGCUGGAUUAAGAGUUCGAGGGACGUCAUCGAGCUGAAUGUGUGCAGAACUCAGAGGUGCCGUACGUUCGGUGCUUGAUCUGUUGGUUCUAGAAGACGUUCGAAUACAUCAACCGCGUUAAGCUAACACUUCCGCUUUCGGUCUACAAGGGUAUGUGGACACACUCUCCCCUCUCGUUGCUAUGCAUCUCCUAGAUAGAUCUUGCGUGAUCGUAGGAAUUUUUUUAAAAUUGCAUGCUACAUUCCCCAAUAGUGGAAUCCGAGCCAGGUCUAUGCGUAGAUGAUAUGCACGAGUAGAACCCAAAGAGUUGUGGGCGAUGAUAGUCAUACUGCUUGCCACCAACGUCUUAUUUUGAUUCGGCGGUAUUGUUGGAUGAAGCGGCCCGGAUGAACCUUACAUGACCGCGUUCAUGAGACCAGUUCCACCGACAGACAUGCAACUUGUUUUGCAUAAAGGUGGCUGUCGGGUGUCUGUUUCUCCAACUUCAAUUGAAUCGAAUUUGACUACGGCCGGUCCCUGUUGAAGGUUAAAACAGCAAACUUGAAAAAAUAUCGUUCUGGUUUUGAUACGUAGGUAAGAACGGUUCUUACUAGAAGCCUGUAGCAGCCACGUAAAACUUGCAACAACAAAGUAGAGGACGUCUAACUUGUUUUUGGAGGGCAUGUUGUGAUGUGAUAUGGUCAAGACAUGAUGUGAUAUACGUAGUUGUAUGAGAUGAUCAUGUUUUGUAAAAGUUAUCGGCAACUGGCAGGAGCCUUAUGGUUGUCGCUUUAUUGUAUGAGAUGCACACGCCAUGUAAUUGCUUUACUUUAUCACUAUGCGUUAGCGAUAGUUGUAGAAGCAAUAGUUGGCGAGACGACCACGAUGCUACGAUGGAGAUCAAGGUGUCAAGCCGGUGACGAUGGAGACCAUGACGGUGCUUUGGAGAUGGAGAUCAAAGGCACAAGAUGAUGAUGACCAUAUCAUGUCACAUAUUUUGAUUGCAUGUGAUGUUUAUCUUUUAUGCAUCUUAUUUUGCUUAGUCCGGCGGUAGCAUUAUAAGAUGAUCCCUUACUAAAAUUUCAAGGUAUAAGUGUUCUCCCUGAGUAUGCACCGUUGCGACAGUUCGUCGUGCCGAGACACCACGUUAUAAUCGGGUGUGAUAAGCUCUACGUUCACAUACAACGGGUGCAAGACAGUUUGCACGUGCGGAAUACUCGGGUUAAACUUGACGAGCCUAGCAUGUACAGACAUGGCCUCGGAACACUGGAGACCGAAAGGUCGAACGUGAAUCAUAUAGUAGAUAUGAUCAACACAGAGAUGUUCACCAUUGAAGACUACUUCAUCUCACGUGAUCAUUUAGAGGACUCGAGGGAUGUCUAUCUAAGUGGGAGUUCUUAAGUAAUAUGAUUAAUUGAACCUAAUUUAUCAUGAACUUAGUCCUGAUAAUAUUAGCAUAUCUAUGUUGUAGAUCAAUAGCUUGCGAUGUAGCUCCCCGUUUAUUUUUGAUAUGUUCCUAGAGAAAAAUAAGUUGAAAGAUGAUAGUAGCAAUGAAGCGGACUGGGUCCAUGAUCUGAGGAUUAUCCUCAUUGCUGCACAGAAGAAUUAUGUCCUUGAUGCACUGCUAGGUGACGGACCUAUUGCAGCAGCAGAUGCAGACGUUAUGAACGUUUGGCAAGCUCGGUAUGAUGACUACUUGUUAGUUUUGUGCGCCAUGCUUUACGGCUUAGAACCGGGACUUCAAAAACGUUUUGAACUCCACGGAGCAUAUAAGAUGUUCCAAGAGCUGAAAUUGGUAUUUUAGACUCAUGCCCGAGUUGAGAGGUAUGAGACCUCUGACAAGUACUUUGCCUACAAGAUGGAGGAGAAUAUCUCAACCAGUGAGCAUGUGCUCAAAAUGUCUGAGUACUACAAUCUCUUGAAUCAAGUGGGAGUUAAUCUUCCAGAUAAGAUAGUGAUUGACAGAGUUCUCUAGUCGCUAUCACCAAGUUACUAGAACUUCGUGAUGAACUAUAAUAUGCAAGGGAUGAUGAAAAUGAUUCCCGAGUUCUUCGCAAUGCUAAAAUUGGCGAAGCUAGAAAUCAAGAGAGAGCAUCAAGUUUUGAUGGUUAACAAGACCACUAGUUUCAAGAAAAAGGGCAAAGGAAAAGAAAGGGAACUUCAAGAAGAAUAACAAGCAAGUUGCCACUCUAGUGAAGAAGCCCAAAGCUAGACCUAAGCCUGAAACUGAGUGCUUCUACUGCAAAGGGAAUGGUCACCGGAACUACCCCAAAUAAUUGGUGGAUAAGAAGGAUGGCAAAGUGAACAAAGGUAUAUUCGAUAUACAUGUUAUUGAUGUGUACUUUACUAGUGUUCAUAGUAACCCGAGGGUAUUUGAUGCCAGUUCAGUUGCUAAGAUUAGUAACUCGAAACAGGAUUUGCAAAAUGAACAGAGACUAGUUAAGGGCAAGGUAACGAUGUGUGUUGGAAGUGAUUCCAAGGUUGAUAAGAUCACCAUCGCAUACUCCUUCUGCCUUCGGGAUUAGUGUUGAACCUAAAUAAAUGUUAUUUGGUGUUUGCGUUGAGAAUGAAUAUGAUUGGAUCAUGUUUAUUGCAAUACGGUUAUUCAAUUAAGUCAGAGAAUAAUUGUUGUUCUGUUUACAUGAAUAAAACCUUCUAUGGUCGUACACCCAACAUAAAUGGUUUAUUGAAUCUCGAUCGUAGUAAUACACAUAUUCAUAAUAUUGAUGCCAAAAGAUGCAAAGUUGAUGAUGAUAGUGCAACAUACUUGUGGCAUUGCCGUUUAGGUCAUAUUGGUGUAAAGCGCAUGAAGAACUCCAUGCAGAUGGGCUGUUGGAAUCACCUGAUUAUGAAUCAUUUGAUACUUGCGAACCAUGCCUCAUGGGUAAGAUGACUAAAACUCCGUUCUCCGGAACAAUGGAGCGAGCCAAUUACUUAUUGGAAAUAAUACAUACUGAUGUAUGCGGUCCGAUGAGUAUUGAGGCAUGCGGCGGGUAUCGUUAUUUUCUGACCUUCACAGAUGAUUUGAGCAGAUAUAUGUAUAUCUACUUAAUGAAACACAAGUCUAAAACAUUUGAAAAGUUCAAGGAAUUUCAGAGUGAAGUGGAGAAUCAUCGUAACAAGAAAAUAAAAGUUUCUACGAUCUGAUCGCGGAGGUGAAUAUUUGAGUUACAAGUUUGGCCUUCAUUUAAAACAAUGUCGAAUAGUUUCACUAAACACGCCACCUGGAACACCACAGCGUAAUGGUGUGUCUAAAUGUCGUAACCAUACUUUAUUAGAUAUGGUGCGAUCUCCUUCUUUUGGGAGGAAAUCAAAUGAGUAAAGGUUUCUGCCGACUCCCCUCAAGGAACCACUCACUACUCAACUUGAAACCACGGACCUACCUCCUGCUUUUGACUUUCUUCUUUGUCCCAAUUCAUAUCGAGCAUGUCUUUCUCCAUCUAUAGAUAGAGAGAAUAUAGGAUUCUGUAUCUAAUACUAAUAGGUACUAACCGCAUUCAAGAUUGACUUGACCUCUUAUUUUGGCUAUGAUGUCUCUUACCGAUUUACCACUAUCGUUUUGGGGUUAUGCAUUAGAGACAGCUGCAUUCACAUUAAAUAUGGCACCAUCUAAAUCCGUUGAGACGACACCGUAUGAACUGUGGUUUGGCAAGAAACCUAAGCUGUCAUUUCUUAAAGUUUGGGGUUGCGAUGCUUAUGUGAAAAAACUUCAACCUGAUAAGCUCGAACCCAAAUCGGAGAAGUGCGUCUUCAUAGGAUACCCAAAAGAAACUGUUGGGUACACCUAUCACAGAUCCAAAGGCAAGAUCUUUGUUGCUAAGAAUGGAUCCUUUCUAGAGAAAGAGUUUCUCUCGAAAGGAGUGGGAGGAAAGUGGAACUUGAUGCGGUAAUUGUACCUUCUCUCAAAUUGGAAAGUAGCUCAUCACAGAAAACCGUUCCCGUGAUGCCUACACCAACUAGAGAGGAAGCUAAUGAUAAUGAUCAUGAAACUUCAGAUCAAGUUACUACCGAACCUCAUAGGUCAACCAGAGCACGUUCCGCACCAGAGUGGUACGGUAAUCCUGUCCUGGAAGUCAUGUUACUAGACCAUGACGAACCUACGAACUAUGAGGAAGCGAUGAUGAGCCCAGAUUCCGCAAAAUGGCUUGAGGCCAUGAAAUCUGAGAUGGGAUCCAUGUAUGAGAACAAAGCAUGGACUUUGGUUGACUUGCCCGAUGAUCGGCAAGCCAUAGAGAAUAAAUGGAUCUUCAAGAGGAAGAUGUACGCUGAUGGUAGUGUUACUAUCUACAAAGCUCGACUUGUCGCAAAAGGUUUUCGACAAGUUCAAGGUGUUGACUACGAUGAGAUUUUCUCACUCGUAUCGAUGAUUAAGUCUGUCCGAAUCAUGUUAGCAAUUGCCGCAUUUUAUGAAAUCUGGCAAAUGGAUAUCAAAACUACAUUCCUUAAUGGAUUUAUUAAAGAAGAGUUGUAUAUGAUGCAACCAGAAGGUUUUGUCAAUCCUAAAGGUGCUAACAAAAUGUGCAAGCUCCAGCGAUCCAUCUAUGGACUGGUGCAAGCAUCUCGGAGUUGGAAUAUACGCUUUGAUGAAUUGAUCAAAACAUAUAGUUUUAUACAGACUUGCGGUGGAGUCUGUAUUUACAAGAAAGUGAGUGAGAGCACUACAACCUUUCUGAUAAGUAUAUGUGAAUGACAUAUUGUUGGACUACAAAAAAAAACAC
rnacentral:lncRNA from 1 species